UGAACGGAUCGUAAAGCCUGGUGACUUUGGCUGUCCGUAGGACAGACCUAGCCUUUCCUGCAACGGAACGGGACAGAUUGAAAUCGAAGCCCAGGGUGAGCCGUUCA
rnacentral:sRNA from 12 species